rnacentral:rRNA from 1 species
GACGAACGCUGGCGGCGUGCCUAAUACAUGCAAGUAGAACGCACAGUUUAUACCGUAGCUUGCUACACCAUAGACUGUGAGUUGCGAACGGGUGAGUAACGCGUAGGUAACCUGCCUGGUAGCGGGGGAUAACUAUUGGAAACGAUAGCUAAUACCGCAUAAUAUUGAUUAUUGCAUGAUAAUUGAUUGAAAGAUGCUAUUGCAUCAUUACCAGAUGGACCUGCGUUGUAUUAGCUAGUAGGUGAGGUAACGGCUCACCUAGGCGACGAUACAUAGCCGACCUGAGAGGAUGAUCGGCCACACUGGGACUGAGACACGGCCCAGACUCCUACGGGAGGCAGCAGUAGGGAAUCUUCGGCAAUGGACGAAAGUCUGACCGAGCAACGCCGCGUGAGUGAAGAAGGUUUUCGGAUCGUAAAGCUCUGUUGUAAGAGAAGAACGGGUGUGAGAGUGGAAAGUUCACACUGUGACGGUAUCUUACCAGAAAGGGACGGCUAACUACGUG